rnacentral:rRNA from 1 species
UACGAAGGGUGCAAGCGUUACUCGGAAUUACUGGGCGUAAAGCGUGCGUAGGUGGUUCGUUAAGUCUGAUGUGAAAGCCCUGGGCUCAACCUGGGAAUUGCAUUGGAUACUGGCGGGCUAGAGUACGGUAGAGGGUGGCGGAAUUCCUGGUGUAGCAGUGAAAUGCGUAGAUAUCAGGAGGAGCAUCCGUGGCGAAGGCGGCCACCUGGACCAGUACUGACACUGAGGCACGAAAGCGUGGGGAGCAAACAGG